rnacentral:rRNA from 1 species
GAGUUGAUUCUGGCUCAGGACGAACGCUGGCGGCGUGCCUAAUACAUGCAAGUCGAACGGACGAUGGGGCUUCGGCCCCAAAGUUAGUGGCGAACGGGUGAGUAACGCGUGAGCAACCUGACUCAAAGAGGGGGACAACAGCUGGAAACGGCUGCUAAUACCGCAUAAGACCACAGCGCGGCAUCGCAAAGGGGUCAAAGAAUUAUCGCUUUGAGAGGGGCCCGCGUCCCAUUAGAUAGUUGGUGAGGUAACGGCCCACCAAGUCCGCGAUGGGUAGCCGAGCUGAGAGGCUGAUCGGCCACACUGGAACUGAGACACGGUCCAGACUCCUACGGGAGGCAGCAGUAGGGAAUAUUGGGCAAUGGGCGCAAGCCUCGACCCAGCAACGCCGCGUGAGGGAAGAAGGUUUCGGAUUGUAAACCUCUGUCCUAUGUGACGAAGGAAGUGACGGUAGCAUAGGAGGAAGCCCCGGCUAACUACGUGCCAGCCGCCGC